UCAGAUUGAACGCUGGCGGCGUGCUUAACACAUGCAAGUCGUGCGGUAACAGGCGUAGCAAUACGUGCUGACGAGCGGCGAACGGGUGCGUAAUACAUGGGAAUCUGCCCUUUAGUGGGGAAUAACCCGGCGAAAGCCGGGCUAAUGCCGCAUAAGAUCUUCGGAUGAAAGCGGGGGAUCGUAAGACCUCGCGCUGAUGGAUGAGCCCAUGUCGGAUAGCUAGUUGGUGAGGUAACGGCUCACCAAGGCGACGAUCCGUAGCUGGUCUGAGAGGACGGCCAGCCACACUGGGACUGAGACACGGCCCAGACUCCUACGGGAGGCAGCAGUGGGGAAUAUUGGACAAUGGGGAAACCCUGAUCCAGCGACGCCGCGUGUGUGAAGAAGGCCUGCGGGUUGU
rnacentral:rRNA from 1 species